rnacentral:rRNA from 1 species
CCUACGGGUGGCAGCAGUGAGGAAUAUUGGUCAAUGGGCGCGAGCCUGAACCAGCCAAGUAGCGUGAAGGAUGACUGCCCUACGGGUUGUAAACUUCUUUUAUAAAGGAAUAAAGUGAGGCACGUGUGCCUUUUUGUAUGUACUUUAUGAAUAAGGAUCGGCUAACUCCGUGCCAGCAGCCGCGGUAAUACGGAGGAUCCAAGCGUUAUCCGGAUUUAUUGGGUUUAAAGGGUGCGUAGAUGGGUUGUUAAGUCAGUUGUGAAAGUUUGCGGCUCAACCGUGAAAUUGCAAUUGAUACUGGCAGCCUUGAGAGCAGUUGAGGUAGGCGGAAUUCGUGGUGUAGCGGUGAAAUGCUUAGAUAUCACGAAGAACUCCGAUUGCGAAGGCAGCUUACUAAACUGCCACUGACAUUGAUGCACGAAAGUGUGGGUAGCAAACAGGAUUAGAUACCCCGGUAGUC